ACGCUGGCGGCGUGCCUAAUACAUGCAAGUCGAACGGUCUUUCUAUGGAAGCUUGCUUCCACUGAGAAGAUAGUGGCGAACGGGUGAGUAACACGUGGGUAACCUGCCCAUAAGAGGGGGAUAACAUCCGGAAACGGGUGCUAAUACCGCAUAGUUUUCUUGAUCGCAUGAUUGAGAAAGGAAAGACGGCCUUUGUGCUGUCGCUUAUGGAUGGACCCGCGGCGUAUUAGUUAGUUGGUGAGGUAACGGCUCACCAAGACGAUGAUACGUAGCCGACCUGAGAGGGUGAUCGGCCACAUUGGGACUGAGACACGGCCCAAACUCCUACGGGAGGCAGCAGUAGGGAAUCUUCCGCAAUGGACGAAAGUCUGACGGAGCAACGCCGCGUGAGUGAAGAAGGUUUUUCCGGAUCGUAAAACUCUGUUGUCAGAGAAGAACAAGUUGGAGAGUAACUGCUCCAGCCUUGACGGUAUCUGACUAGAAAGCCACGGCUAACUACGUGCCAGCAGCAGC
rnacentral:rRNA from 1 species